CACGUAGGGUGCGAGCGUUGUCCGGAAUUAUUGGGCGUAAAGAGCUCGUAGGCGGCUUGUUGCGUCGAUCCGUGAAAACCCGGCAGCUCAACCUGCGGGCUUGCGGACGAUACGGGCAGGCUGGAGUUCGGUAGGGGGAGACUGGAAAUUCCUGGUGUAGCGGUGAAAUGCGCAGAUAUCAGGAGGAACACCGGUGGCGAAGGCGGGUCUCUGGGCCGAUACUGACGCUGAGGAGCGAAAGCGUGGGGAGCGAACAGG
rnacentral:rRNA from 1 species